rnacentral:rRNA from 1 species
AUUGAACGCUGGCGGCAGGCCUAACACAUGCAAGUCGAACGGUAACAGGAAACAGCUUGCUGUUUCGCUGACGAGUGGCGGACGGGUGAGUAAUGUCUGGGAAACUGCCUGAUGGAGGGGGAUAACUACUGGAAACGGUAGCUAAUACCGCAUAACGUCGCAAGACCAAAGAGGGGGACCCUCGGGCCUCUUGCCAUCGGAUGUGCCCAGAUGGGAUUAGCUUGUUGGUGGGGUAACGGCUCACCAAGGCGACGAUCCCUAGCUGGUCUGAGAGGAUGACCAGCCACACUGGAACCGAGACACGGUCCAGACUCCUACGGGAGGCAGCAGUGGGGAAUAUUGCACAAUGGGCGCAAGCCUGAUGCAGCCAUGCCGCGUGUAUGAAGAAGGCCUUCGGGUUGUAAAGUACUUUCAGCGGGGAGGAAGGGAGUAAAGUUAAUACCUUUGCUCAUUGACGUUACCCGCAGAAGAAGCACCGGCUAACUCCGUG